AUUUAAAAUAUAUUUUAUUUAGUGUGUUGCUACUAUAAAUGUUGGAUAUUGAAUGAAAUGAAAUAUUUUGACAUAUGUUAUGUUUUUUUUUAUGAUAUCAAAAUAUUGUUAAGUUUUAUUUUUUUUUUUUUGAGAGAGAGAGAGAGAUAUAUAGCAUGCUACCCGCUUCAUUUAUUUCAUUUAGAAAUAAACUUAGCUGGAAAUGUGAAUAAACUAGGAUUCGAACUUGCGACCUCGGGUACCAACCAAGUCCUUUGUCACUUGCACUAUAUAAUUGGUUUGCUUAUUAUAGAAAAAUAUAAUAUUUUAUUUAUAUUAAGACUAUUUGAUUGUCAAUGAUUUAUAAUUUUCAAUUUUUAAACGCGGUCUAAAAUAAUUAUUUUAAUAAAAUUUUAAUACUAAUUUUCACAUAGAAACGGUUUAAACCGUCUCUAUAUAAUAACAUGUUAUAGAGACGGUUUGAACAGCCUCUACAGAAUAAGAAAAAUAAUUUUGUAGAGGCGGUUUGAACCGCUUCUAUAUUAUAAUAAGAUGAAUAAAAAAUUAUUAAAUAAAAUGAAAAAAUUAGUUGAGCUGGUUUGAACCACAUUUAUAAGACCGCCUAUAGAGACAGCGUCUACGCCAGCGGUUUAGAGGCGGUUGUUAAAACUGCCUCUACGGUUUGCGAUUUAAAUCGCCCCUACGAUAAUUAAAAAUCGUCUCUACGACCGUUUUGUUUUGUACUGAAUAUUCAUAUAUUCAAAUAGAUCAAUCUUAAUCAUGCAACUCUAU
rnacentral:lncRNA from 1 species